ensembl:lncRNA
AGGGUGACAGCGAAACGGAUAACAGUCUUGAGUACCUGCUGAUCUUUGAAGCUCUGGAUUCUGGGACUGUUGGAAAAGGUAUUUUUGAAAACUCAGCUGUUUCUAUGCGUUUGGGCCUUUCGACAACACGUAAACGGCGUUGCGAUUCACCGAAAACGGAGAUUAUUUAAAACUCCUUUUUUGCGUUUAUGUGUGGACGAGGAUUACAGAGUUCGUCACGCAACGUCAAAGGGUCGCGGGGGGCGCUGGAGCCUAUCCCAGCUGUCAUAGGGCGAGAGGCGGGGUACACCCUGGACAGGUCGCCAGUCUGUCGCAGGGCCAACACACAGGGACAGACAACCAUUCACGCUCACAUUCACUCCUAGUGACAAUUUGGAUUAUCCAAUUAACCUAUCCCCUCAAACUGCAUGUCUUUGGACGGUGGGAGGAAGCCGGAGUACCCGGAGAGAACCCACGCAAACACGGGGAGAACAUGCAAACUCCACACAGAAAGACCCCGGCCUGAUGGUGGAAUUGAACUCAGGACCUUCUUGCUGUGAAGCAACAGUGCUAACCACCGUGCCACCAUGCUGCCCGGCUAGCAAUACAUUUUUCAAAAAAUGCCUUUCUGUGCAAAAUGGUUUCAAAAACAUAAACAGCUGUGGGAUACUGUUAGUCCGUGAUUUGAACCGGGGGAACAAAUUACGGCAGGAUCAGCCUGAUAUUAUUUGUAUCCCACUGUAACUUUACUGCAUAAAGAGCUAACAUGUCCAAAAUGUCAGGAGUAGUUAGUCAUUACAAGAAGUGUUUGUGAACUAAAAAUCAAGAAUGUGGGAUCCUGUUUGUCCGUGAUUUGGAGAGCCCAGCGCUGCUCCCGACGCAGGGAAAACUAAUUUUGCAGGGGAGGCCUACCUUGCCACUUGUGCAGGUGAAGCCAAAGGGAAGAUAUGCUUCACCAUAUUUUCUAGUCUUUGGCUUGGAAGGAAGUUGGUUUGGAAACAUAUUUGGUGAUGCUUCAUCUCCUGCUUUGCGUUUGUGUGGGAGCCCCGUCAAAAACCUGUCCAUUAUGCUAGCAGUGUCCAAGCUUUCUUUUUUUUUUCUUUUUCUUUUUUUUGUGUCUGGCCAAAGAAGUGAGCGUGUUGCAGCCUUCAGGGAGCCCAAGAAGGUGUGUUACGACCUUUCAGGGCAAGAGCUCCGAGGGAGUCUUCGUGUAGAAUCACGGAGAGUCUUCGUGUAGAAUCACGGAGUGACAUCCCUAGCGUCUUCUAAAAGAUCCUAACUUCUUCAAAGGAGACUGGGGGUGGCGGUGUUCGUUCCUUGGUCUGUAGAAGGCAAGGAACCUCACGGGGGAUGCCUCGUGUAGUACUAGAGAAUCUAGAUUCCAGGGGCAGUCAGCGGAGCCGGAUUAGCGGCUCGAGAGGCGACUGCGGCAGACGUUCCACCAGGCGGCCAGAGACAAAACUCAAUGCGUGACUGUAUGGUAAGAGCUGAGUAAAUGUGUGGUGUGUAAGAUUGCAGAGAAUGGUUGUGUGGGAAAAGUUAAUGUGUGUGUAAAAACAGUGAAAAAUGGGGUUAAAAAUGUUGAAAAUGGGGAACAAAAACAAGAAAAGAAAAAAAAAGAGGAGUGUAGAAAUGUAUGUAAAAGUGGUUUCCAACGAGCGGAAGAGGGUGGUACUGCAGGCCACCAGCUCCGCUAGGGUGGACACACACAAAAUUUCUUUUUUACUAGAAUUGUUGAUAAAAAUAAACAAAAAAUAGGAAGAGGGUUUGGUGUUUUUCAAUGUAGGAACAACUACAAUCUCUCUGGGUUUUUGAGAAAGGGGAGUUCAGAAACAGAGAGCGGAGACGUGUUGUUUUAAGCAGUGAUAAGAAUGAUCAAAAUGUCUCAGCAUGUCACUUGCAGGUGAAGAACAGACCCUGAUCAAUUUUCCACGUGCAGCAGUCGGAAGAAAAUUGUAGGUUAACAUCAUUUAGAAACACUCAAGCCAAGUUUUGGCUGAAUUGUUUUACAGCUUAACUUCCAUGUGUUUGUCACCCUGAGAACACAAGCUCCAAGAAUCUCUCCCUGAAGACAAGAAAUGCAGUUCCAGAACAACGAGGUGGAUAUCAAGAGCUCACAGUAGUGUCCUGAGCAGUGAAGAAAAGGUUCAGCAGCUGUGCAAGACAGCGACAGCAAGGAGAAAAAUGGCAUCAUCAUGACUGGAUGGAUGGAUGUGCAUUUAGAAUGAGCUGCAACUUCACUGUGUGUGAAUGGACCUUUGAAAAGACUGUCUGAGUUGGACAUUUGCCACUUUUGGAGCAAAAUGGCAAGAUGAGACAGUGGAAAACACAGGCCAAAGCUGAAAGACAACUGACUCUCACUGGACUGCUGCAAGGGGGAGAGAUGAGAUGAGACCACAGUGGAAGGAGCAGGGGAGAACAUGGCUGUUUUAGUGUGGGAACUGAAAUUUGGGUUUAGGAAACUGGGAAGAAAAAACGACUGCCUUGCGUGGAGAAUUGAAAAGUGUCUGGAGCACCGCAAAGAGGAGAGGUACACAAAAAUUACACAAACAGAAAAAUGCAUUAAUCCUACUAACACAAGCACACAUGCAAUUCAAUUCAAUUCAAUUCAAUUCAAUUUUAUUUAUAUAGCGCCAAAUCACAACAAAAGUCGCCUCAAGGCGCUUUAUAUUGUACAGUAGAUAGCACAAUAAUAAAUACAGAGAAAAGCCCAACAAUCAUAUGACCCCUAUGAGCAAGCACUUUGGCGACAGUGGGAAGGAAA